UUAAGAUUAGCGCUGCUAAGCAUAUCGGAUGCGAGAAUUUUGCGCUUGUGUUUCCAGCUGGGACUGCUGUAAGAGUCGAAUGCAAUAUCAUUAGUGCCGAAGGUAAUAAUCUGCGCAGCAAUGGGAGAUUCUCGCUCUGAAAAGGCUAUAUCAUUGUCACGAACCACUUCUUUUACAAGCGAUGGGGAGCUAAUUACUACGAUUAACUUGUUUCCAAGCCAAAGUUUGUAGAUAGGACCGUAAACUCCGGCCAACUCCGUAAAGACCAGAUGGAGAUUAUCGAAUCCAAGAAAUGGAAGAUACCCCACUAUUGGCAACCCAAGGGGACCGGGCGGUAAUGGAGCCAUCGGUUUCCUUGCCUUUAGAAAUAGGUACCAGAGUGAAAGCCCCAACAUGGCAACCAGAAAUGGGAAAGCUGCUGGUAAGAAUCCGUCUUUCUGGUUGCCACCAUUCAACAGCCAUGAAAACAAGCUGUAAGCUGUUUGGAACAUCUUUUUCGCUUUUGUGAGGAAAACCAGGAAAUUUUUACACUGAGAUUUACCCGUUAAGUGCAUGCCUACUAAGAAGUGACCAUAAUUUAUAGUACUAAAAUAGCUGUUUGGUAAUUGAUUUUGUUUUUUUUAAAUUCAUUUUCAAUUAAUUUCCUUCUAUUUUUUUUGUUCUUUACAACUCUUAUAGUAUUUUACUUUAUUAGUAAAUGAAUAUAUUUUUCUAGUAAAUUAAUUUCAUAUUUUUUUUUUCAAAUAAAUAAACUAAAAUUGAAGAAGAGCAAUAAGUAGCUAGAGCUUUUAUAUGAUCAAAAUGACGUGAAAAACGAAAGAAAGAAAUAUAUUUUUUAUUAAAACACGUUAUUUGUUUUUUGCGUUAAGAUAAAUUUAACUAAAUUAUAAAAAAACUAAUGGUAAAUUAUUAUAAAUGCAACAUUUUAGGGAGAAUGAAAUAAACAAAAUAUUAAUAACAAUAAUAAAUAUAUGGUUAAAAUAUUACUUGAAAAAAAUGUAAAAGAACCAUAAAAAAUAAUUAAUCAAUUGUAAUUAUCUUUCUAUUUAGGCUAAGUAAAAUAACUUAGAAUCAUUAAAAAUAAGAUAAAAUUGUAAAAAUUUCACCUUAGGAAUAUAAGACAGAUGAUUAUCUUAUAUGAAUAUAUUGAUACCAUUUGUUUUUAGAGUAUAAUAAAAUAAUAAUUAGAUAAUUAAAAAAGACAUUUUCUAUCCUCUUAUAUCCGCUUGUGGAGUUUUUUUUUUUUUACUUAAAACAUUACCUAAUAAAGAAAUGGUAAUGAAAUUACUCCAACAUAUAUUUUAGAAUAUUGUCACUAUUGAGAAUAUAAUUUUGGAAUUCAAAUUAGGAAGGGUAAACUAUACAAAUGGUCACCCAACUAUUUUCGCGUUCUUAUUUUGGUUAUCCAACUUUAAAAAUUUUUAAUUUAGGCACUAACGCUUGAAUUUGUUCCUGUUUAGGUCACUCACCAUUAAAUUGAUAAUGAAAAGCCUUUUUUUAACUAAUACAACAACACAUUUAGUCUUCAAUAAUUUGCAUAUUCUAUCAAUUUGGUCCUAAUUCCAAAUAAUUUAAUAAAUUUAACCCUUCACACAUUUCCAAAUUCUAUCAAUUUAAUUCUCAAACUUAAACUUCCUAGCCAAAACUUUUAGCUUUUAAAACAGAGGCAUUCCAUAUUUAUAAAGUUGUAAAACCCAAAAAAGAAAAACAAAAUUCUCUUAACUAAUAAGUUGUUUUCCGAGCCAAUUCUUGAUACUAAUGAGUUUAUCUUGAAACUUUUUUUUCAUUAAUUUUCUUCUAAAUAUAAUAUUUUAUAACAUUUUGAUUGAUAAAAUUUUGGCUAAAGAAAGUGGGAAAACCUUAAUAAAACACUUUAGAUUUACUCUUGUUAACAAUAUGAUAUUUCCUUCAAAGUACAUAGAAAUAGUCCUCAAAGUUGGUUCUUGAAAUUGGAAACUCAAUCUAGAGUUAAAAAAUAUGACUUUGAAAAAUUCAAAUAUGACUUAUAUAAGAAAAAAUUAUGAACAUUUAAAUUUUCAUAAGAAAAAAAAUGUGAAAGAAUUAAUUGAAUUUCCUUUUGUUAGAUUCAUAAUUAUUUUUUUAAUUUUAUAAAUUGAUUAAGAGAUUAUUAUGUGUUCUAUUUAUUUUUAAUUUUUAAAUCCAUAAUAAGCAAUACGUAUCACUAAUAAUCCGAUUUAGUGUCAAAUUAUUUACUAAAUUAAUUAAAAACUAAAAUUAAGCUAGUCAGAGUAAAAAAUUAUUUUUGACAAAUAUUAAAUUAUUUAUAUAAUUUUAAAAUUUAUAUUCUCUAUUAUUUUUAAUGGUGUUUACUUAAUUUCUAACACUAACUUCUUAAAAAUAUAAACAAAAGGGGUUAUGUACCGAAUUAGAUAAUUUUAACAUAGAUAAAACAAUUAAGAGAUGUGGAAUGUCUUUGUUUUAAAAUCUGAAAGCUUUGGUUAGGAAGUUUGAGAAUCAAAUUGAUAGAAUUUAUAAAUGUGAAGGGUUAAAUUUAUUGAAUUAUUUAGAAUUAGGAUCAAGUUGAUAGAAUAUGAAAGUAUUGAUGACUAAAUGUGUUAUUAUACCAGUUAGAAAAAGGCUUCCGUUAUCAAUUUAACAAUAUGUGACCAAAAUAGUAAAAAAUUCAAACUUUAGUGCCUAAACUGAAAAUGAUUAAAGUUGAGUGACCAAAACAUGAAUAAUAAUAUAAUUGGGUGACUAUUAUUAGAAUUUACCCAAUUAAGAAAUGUUAUUCUGAAUUUUUUUUGAUGAAUUACAAUAAUAAGGUAAAACCCGAAUAAUAAAUACAACUAACGCGAUUUAAACCCAGACUACACCUGGAAUGGUCAAAUACCUGAAUGUACAACGACUUUUAACCUAAAUGCUAUUGAACAAAAUUAACAAUUGGUUGAAUGUUUGAUGUAUAUUUUCACCCUAAAAGGCAACGAUUGGAUAAAUUUUGAAUGGAAACUGUUUUGGUAUAUAUUUUCAACUUUUCAUUAUAAUAUUUAUUCCAAAAAGAGUUUUAUAUAUUUAGGAAUUUAUAUAUUUUGAUUUAAAAUAAAUCUAAAAUAAAUUUGACUUCAAUUAAAAUUAUAAAUUAAAAUAAUAAUUUAAAAUGAUCAACUAAUAUAUUAUUAGAUUUUUAAUCCAAAAAAAUUAUUAUUACAGUUAAUUUAUUGUAAAAUAUUAAAUACAUUAAUAUUAUUUUAAUUUAGUAAGGGUAAAUUUAUAAAUUAUUAUAUUUUUAGAAAAUUAUCUAGUGAAUCAAACGUAAUAAUAAAACAUUCUAAGAAUUUUAAUCAACGCAUUUCGAUUUCUACCAAACGUUACAAAGUAACUUUCUUAGCAAUCACAUUUUGUUAGAAUCAUAGCAUGGGAGAACACCAAAUGCUACCUAAUAUUAAAAUAAAUAAAAUAAAAUUGAAUUAAUGAAAAAUAUUUUCCAUUAAGUGGUAAGUAGCUCUUAUUUACUUAUCAUUUUCCACACGUUUAUUUUGUAAAAUUUUUUCUAUCUGAUUGCUUUUGUUUUAGAUGAUCAAAUAUGUGUAAAAAAUUAAAUCAUUGGAAAAAAGUUAUUUUCAUAUUUGAGUUGUUAACAAUUAUUGAAUAAUAUUUAUGGGUUGUGCUGAGCAUAUGGAUGAUAUCUAACCCAUCAAUAAAAAUCAUAUCACUCUGAGAAACAUAUUUUGGAGAUUGGAUCGAAUCAAAUUACCCUAUUUAAUUCCUUUGAUCGUGGAUAUUGGAUUGAAUUGGAAUCCUGAUUACUUAGCUGUCAAGAGUCCAUGUUUACAUUGUACUUUAUUAUUAUAUUAUAUUAUAUUAUAUUAUAUUCAGCUUCUCUUAUUGUUAUUUUAUAGGGAUUAAUAUAGAUUUCCUUAUGUUAGCAAGUCUCAAAAUAUUCUAUAUAAUUGAGACUUGUAUACGUCACUGUUAGGGAGAGAUUUAAGCACUUAGUCUAUCAUUGUGAGGAAUUUUAUUUUAUGAGUGUAAAUUGAUAGUAAAACAUUGCAUUUUGUGGUUUUACUCGCUGAAUUCACAUGGGUGAAUUUAGUGGUGAGAAUAUCAUUCUUCAAAGUGUAAAGUGUAAGUGUUGAAAUAAUGAAUAUUUCUCACUGAGUUGAACUCUGCAGACAUAGUAAAUUGAACUGCGUAAACAACCCGUGUCUUCUAUUAGUUUAUUGUUUUACUUGUAAUAGUGAAGAAGUGCACACUCUCUUGUCACUCGUUUUAAAUACUUAGCUUAUUUCUCAACAACAGUUUUAAAAUUUCAAUUGGUAUGAGAGUCUUACCACUUAAAAUAGUUAGUUUUAACCUUAAAUUUUAAAAAAUUAAAGACAACUUGUAUUUAAUAAGAUAUCUAUUUUAGAUGCUGCGAAGGCACUAAAGCUUUUUUCGCACCUAAUUAACUUCUGAUUCUAUAAUUUUUUUUAUUUCCAAAAUAUUGACUAAUUUUUUCAUUUAAAAAGAUGAUUUUAUAGAUUUCUAAAAACACAGCCAAAAAAAAAUGAUGAUAACACUUAUUAUAAUUAAACCCUUGUGUUUUUCAACAUUGAAAUUUCCAAAAAUGUUCUAAAAUUGUUAAUCUAAUUUUUAAUUUUAAUUGAAAAUUGGUUACGACUCAAUUAAUUUAAAAUUACUUAAAUUUAGAUGUCAAAUUUAAACCUGAAAUACUUAAUUUGAAAAAUCGAUUGACAAACUCGAAUGAUCCAAAUUCGAAUUGUCCUAAAUUUGAAAUGAUCCGAAAACAAAACUAACCAAACCUAAAAUAUAAAUUUAAAAUAUUAAAAUUUUCAAAAAAAUCUAAAUUCACUCGAUUGAAACUAAGUAAUUCCUUCUCUUAGGAAAUAUGGGAAUCAUUCAAACUAAAAUCUAAUUAAGGUUAUAAGUCACGAGUUUAAGGUUUGAGAUUUUAGAUUAAGGAUUUGGGGUUGAGAGUAAAAAAAUAAUCAAAAUUAUGUAAAUAACAAAAAAAUAAUUUAUUGAAAUAUUAUUAAAUAAUUGAAGGUCCAUAAAAUAAUUUCUUUAUGUAAGUUGAAUGUCUCAAUUGAGUUAAAAAAAAAUCAUGAUUAUUUGAACAAACUAGAAUAAAAAUCUGGUUAAGUCUAUGGUCGGAUAUUUUGAAAAAGAUAUUUGAAAAAGAAAAUUGGAUUAAUUGAUUUUUUUUUCAAAAUAGUUUCAGAGGUUAUGAUUAAACGAAAUAUCAGAGCCUGAAGACUAUAUGAGGCCAAGUUCCAGCCAAGCCAUUCAUAGUUGCUUUUAUCCUCUAAUUAAAUCUCCUAUAUAAAAUCAUGUCUACUUUCUUAUUGUGAAUCAUCAUUUUUUUUUUCUCUAGCUCCCUCUAGAAUAUUGCAGACAGCUUACACCUUGUAUCCAUGGCUAUUAGAUUUGAGCACGCCGAAAGAUGCACUCUUUCGAGCUGUCUUAUCCUUUGUCAUGGUCAUACUUGCAAUUUCUCUUUGGCACCUAUGGUUCGUUAAGAAGUCCAAGAAGAUCGUCGCUCAGUUGCCGCCGGGCCCUCGAGGGUUGCCGAUAGUGGGAUAUCUUCCAUUUCUUGGAACCGAUAAUCUUCACCUGUCCUUCACCGAACUGGCUGCAACCUAUGGUCCCAUCUUCAAACUUUGGCUUGGCAACAAGCUAUGCGUCGUAAUUAGCUCACCGGAACUAGCAAAAGAAGUGGUUCGUGACCAUGAUGUAACAUUCUCUGAACAAGAUCCACCCAUUGCUGCACAAGUUGCUAGCUUUAGUUGCAAUGAUAUUGCAUUCGAUUCUUACAGCAAUCCUCGGUGGAAAAACAAACGUAAAGUUCUUGCAACCGAGUUGCUUACCAAUGCUAGGCUGAAUGCUUGUUAUGGUCUACGAAGAGAACAAGUAAUGAAUGGCCUUAAAGAUGUGUAUGAAAAUGUUGGCAAGCCAAGUGAUAUUGGGAAAUGGACAUAUUUAGUGGCAUUAAAUGUGGCCAUCAGCAUGAUUUUGGGAGGUGAACUCCCAGGUGAGAAAGGGGCGGCCAUUGAAGGUAACUUGAAAGAGAAUUCGUCUGAAUCAAUGGUGUUACUGGGAAAACCGAACGUCUCCGAUAUUUUUCCGGCGAUUGCACGGUUUGACAUACAAGGUAUUGAGAGGGGAAUGAGGAAAAUCAACCAACAGUUCAAUCGACUUCUUGAAUCUGUAAUUGAAGUGGCCAUUGAUAAGGAAAAAGAUAAGAAGAGUAGUGAACAAAAAUUAGGCUUCUUAGAGCUGCUAUUGCAUUUGGAACGCAAUAACAACGAAGAUAAUGCAUCACCUCUUACAAUGGAUGAAGUCAAGGGUCUGCUCGUGGUAAGUUGUGAAUUUCGUUUUCAUUUUUUUAUUUGUUAGUUAUUUAUUUAUUUAUUUUUGGAAAUUUGAAUUUUUUUUGAAUAUUACACUAAAAAUAACGAAUAGCACAAUUUUACCUUUGUAUAAAAUUGAAUAUUAACAACUUUCAUGUUAAAACAAAUUAAUUUAACAAUCUUUAAUAUAUAUAAGCAUGACUUUUAAGAUACCCUUUAUUGUUAAAUAUAUUAUUAAAUUGACAUUAAAAUAAUAAUUUAUUAAUAUUAUUAUGUGAUAAUAAUAAAAGUUAACAUGAUAGUAUAUUAAUGUGAAAUUAAUUAAUUUGAUCAUAUCUUUUAAAAGUUUUAGUUAAAAAAUAAUAAAAUAUAUUAUUAAUUAAUAAAAUUAUAAAUCUAUAAAAUCAUUGAAUAUAAUUGGAUAAAUUAAAAACAAAAACUAAGUUUUUUUAAUUAAAUAAACACAAUUUAUAUAUAAAUAUGAUUUUAUUUUAAAUAUGUUAAUAAUUAAUAAUUUUAAAAUCAUUUUUACAUAAUUAAUAAAAACUAAAUGUGCGAGACUAACAUUAUAUAUAUAAAAAUAAUAUCAAUAUACUGAUAAUAUAAUCUACAAUGUAUGAAUUUAUUUAUUUAUCCUUAAUUUAUAUGUAAGAACUCAAAAGAAAAUAAAUAUAUUUUAUAAUUAAAUUAGAUAUUAUUUUUUAUAAAUAUUAAUUGCAUCUAAUUAAAUUUAUUCAAUUAAACACAAAUCUCAACUCAACAAAUAGUUUGACUCAUAUCUAUUUGAGAAAUUAAGAUGAAGAAAGUCAAUUAAUUAAAAUUUAGUAUUUUGCAUUAUCUAUGUUUCUUAUUAUUAUUAUUUUUUAAAAAAAUUAUAAAAUUUAUAAAAUAAUUAUAAUUACUUAUACCAAUUAAAACUAAUUUUUAGCACUAUAAAUAUAUGUAUUGGUAAGAUAUUUUCAUUUAAAAUAAUAUCUACAGAGUUAAAUGAAAAAAAAUAAAAUUUUAGUGUUAUGUACUUAACAUAUGAACUAGUAUAUAUAAAAUAAAUAAAUUAUAAAAAAUAUUAAUAUAAUUAUUUAAAUUUUAAUAAAUUGAUAUUAAUAUUCAAACUAUGAUAAAUUUUUGUAUUGUUUUAACAUUAAAUAAUAUUAAUAUAAGUUAAUUAAAUAUUUUUUUUAAAAUAUUUUGUAAUUAUAUUAUUAUUUUUCAAUUCAUUAAUGAUUUUAAACAAAAUUUAAUGUUUUAAAAAUAUUAUAAAAUUAAUAUACCCAACCGACUACGAAAAUAAAAAGUAAUUACUAUAUAUAUAAUAUACCCUUUAUCUUUGCAUAAUAUACCCUUUUAUCUUUGCUUUCUAGUUUGGGUAAUUAAUGCUAUUAAUUUUGAACUUUUAGGAUAUAUUGGUGGGUGGUACAGAUACUACUACAACUAUGGUAGAGUGGACAAUGGCAGUGCUAAUGCAACAUCCAGAAAUAAUGGAGAAAGUGAAGAAAGAAUUAAGUGAUGUUGUUGGGGUAAACAACACCGUUGAAGAAUAUCACUUGUCUAAUUUAAGUUACCUAAACGCUGUGAUAAAGGAAACCUUCCGACUGCAUCCAGCACUACCGCUCCUUGUUCCUCGAUGUCCGGCCCGAUCCGUCCAUCUCAAUGGCUAUACCAUACCAAAGGGCAGUAGGUUGUUCAUAAACAUGUGGUGCAUUCAUAGGGAUCCUCUUAUUUGGGAGAAUCCUUUAGAAUUUCGACCAGAAAGAUUCUUAAAUGAUCCUGAUAAUUCAAAUCAUUAUGGAAAUGAUUUUCGGUUCAUGCCAUUCGGGUCCGGAAGGAGAAAGUGCCCAGGAAUACCCUUAGAGGAGAAGCUAUUGUUUUUCAUAUUGGCUUCAUUGUUGCAUUCUUUUGAGUGGAGAUUGCCACACGGAACAGUGCUUGACAUGUCCAGCAAAUUUGGAAUUGUUAUGAAGAAAAAGGAGCCUACACUUCUUAUUCCUGCACCAAGAUUGACAAAUCUUGAUGCUAAUGGUUAAAAACGCAAAAAAGACGAUGAUUGAAUCUCUUAUCUGCACUUUAAUAAUUAAAUUUAGAAUUUAUUAAUGUAUCUCCUUGUUUUAUAUUUAAUGCGUUUUAAACUAUAAUUGUCUUUUUAUGUUGUAGGUAUCCAAUAUGGCAUUGAUAUUGGAUAUUUUGGUAAUAAAGCGCAUAUAUUACAUUGAAUUUAAUUCGAAAAAAAUCAAAAAACAAUUUGAAUUAAGACGAUUUGGAGAUUUUUUAAAAUAGAAAUUAUAAUUGUAAUUAUCUAAACCAAAUCAAAAUUUAAUUUUAUUAAUUUAUAAUGAAAAACAAAUUAAUUAAAAAUUAAUAUUUUCAAUGAUUUAAUUUUGUUGGAACUUACCGUAAGCAUUUAAGUUUUGUCGAGGCUUACAAUCUCAAUUUCAACUUGAUUUGACUUCAAUUUUAAAUAGUUUUCAAUUUAAUUUUGGCAUCGAAUGGGGUAGAUAUUUGGAUAUCUACUUGUGUUUUUUUGGAAAAAUAAUAAUAAAAUCAAAGUUUUAUUUUAAAUAAACUAAAAUUAUGUUUUUAGAAAAUAAAAAAAAAAUCAUGUCGGGGUUUGGGUGAAAGAUCAUUUAAAUUCAAAGGCCAAAAUGUUUUGUUUUCCAAGCACAAUUUUUAAUGUUAAAUCAAAUUGGUUUUAGUCUAGUCAGAGGCCAAAUUAGGAACAAUAUCAAUAUCAAUUCCUUUGAUGGGUGUCGAAUCCACCAAUAUAAACCUACGCCUUAAUUUGCAAAUUAUGCAUAACGGUGUUUGCUCGUUGGAGCAGCGGCUAGUUGACAAAUGGUUCGGUUCGCCAUCCUUUCUAGUUCACCGAGGUUGUCUUCUGCUUCUUUUGUUUCAGGAAGUGAUUCGGUCUCAGGUUCAACCACUUCGACUUGUUUGCCACGUCGAAUUGCCUCUGCACGAAUUGCUUGUCUCAACUUUUCAAUGUCGGUUUCUAAGAGCCCUUGUCCUAGCUCAACUUCUGCUUUACUUGCACGCUUAAGAGCUUCUGUCUCUUUUCGUCGUGUUCGUGCUGAUUUUUCGAUCUCUGAGCCGUAUUCGAGAUCUCCGGAUGAAGAUCUGGUCAUGAAGAUAAUUUAAACAAUUGUGAGUGUUGCCAGUCCCCGGCAACGGCGCCAAAACUGAUGGGUGUCGAAUCCACCAAUAUAAACCUACGCCUUAAUUUACAAAUUAUGCAGUAUAGGGAGUAGGGUCGAUCCCUCAGAGACUGGUUUACUGUAAAUUGUUGCUCUCUUGACCAGAUUUAUGUUGGGGCAGCUGUCGUGCCCAAGAGAUUCGGGGGGAUAAAAUUUGAUGACCUGAAAUAAACAAAAAAAUAACGUAAAAAGUAAAAGUUGAAAACAGGAUAAUAAAAACAGUGAAAUAAAUAUUAAGAAAAAUUAAUUAGAUUAAGCUCAGCCUUAGGUACGGAUUUUCCCUCGUCUUUGAUCCGAUCCUCGAAAUUAAAUGAACUCCUCUUCUCCAAUAAGCUAGUUAUAGCUACCAAGGACGCCUUGGACUCCAACUCUUCAUUGUGUAAAUUAGUUAUGGAACGUCCAAUAACUAACCAUUACCGAUCGGACAACCACGAAACGUUCGUGAUUUAGAACUCCGGCAGCUUUGCGUUCUAGAAGAGCCUAGCUCAAACCAAUGCCCUCAACCGCGUGGGACAUUUAAAUCCGGUCACUACUUCCCUUGACGGAACCAAACAGCUAUCUCCACUUGGCACGCCAAUGUGUUCACAGAAAACUGAUUAGAAACGUUCCUUUCGGAAUUCCAACUGUACGUCUAACCACACUAAAUCAAAUGACGUCUUUUUGACUUAAUGUUGAUCUGACUUUGCGAGUCGACAAAAUCAUACUCUUAAUCCGGAGAAAUAAUAAGUACUGGAAUUUAGGAGUUAAAUUGCUCGGGUUAGUAACUUAGGGGUUUUGACGAGGUUAAUUCCGACCUAAAGCUGAAAGAUGGGUUUAGUUAGCUAUGGUUUGGGGCAUGUUGGUAUUUGAUAAAUUAAAUAAGGUAAAUGGGUGAAAAGAUGGGUGACGUGAUUGAUUGUGGGGGUUGGAAAAAUAUAUUAAAGUGGGGUGGUUGACUAUUGGGAAUGAAAAGAAAAUUUGAAAAAGAAAUUGUAAAUUGUGAGUAGUAAUGGAAAUUUUAAGGAAUUGAAAGUAGAGAAUACUAAAGACAAUAAAUAUAUUGUUGAAUAUAUAGUUGAAAGUAAGGUAAAUGGGUGGUUGGCUACUGGAAAGAAAUUGAAGGAAAGGAAACUAAAGAAACAACAAAUGCUACGUGAGAAAGGAGAGAAUUGAAAGAUAAAAGCUUAAUAUUUUUUAUUGAUGAAUAAAUGAACAAUACAUGCUCUAUUUAUACUAGUAGAUUUACUAAAUUAGGAGCCAACUAGUCAUAGGAAUUUAAGGAAAAAAAUAUUCCAUGACAAAAAAAUAUCCUAAAAUAAUCUCCCACUAAGUCAACAAUUUCAGCUAAUUAAUCUUGGAAAAAUUCUUCUUUGGCCCUUCUUCUUUGCUUCUUUCUUCAAUCUAGCCCAAUUGUUUCCUUUUUCUUCUAUUUAGCCCCAAAUUGCAUUCCUGCACAAAAUUCAAUAAAUAUGGCAAAAUUAAUGGUGCAUUCUCAUAAAUUAACCAAUUUAAUUACAUAAAAUUUAAUCACCCUUUUAUUUCCCAUUUGCUUCAGAUUUUGAAAUCUUGAGUGGUAAAUUUGCCAAUUAGGCCUCUUUGCCUUUUUACAUUUUUUGUUUUUCAAAAUUAAGCUUCUUUUUUAGUAAAAGAUCACACUACAUUUUUUUUUUCGAAAUUAGAUUUUUUUUAAAGUUUUUAAAUUUUAAUUUCAAUUAGUUUUUUUUCUUUUCUUUCUUUAUUUUAUGAUUUGAAUUUUAAAAUUUCAAUUUUACUCCUUCUAAUGAGAAUAAUUUUUUUCAAUUAAAUAAAUUUAGUCUUUUCUUUAUUAUGCUUGUUCAACUUUAUUUCCAUAUUGUUUGCAAAAUUUCUUCUUCUUCUUCUUCUUUUUUAAUGCAUUUUGGUUGAAUAAAAAAACAAACAAACGGUACAAUUUUUUUAAUGAAAAAGAGUGAAAAAUAAUAAGUGGAUAAUGAGCUAGUUAUAAAGUUAUAUUUAUCAAAAAAAUUUAAUUAUAUUCCGUAUUUAAUUUUUUAAAAUAUUUCAAGUAAAUUUUAUAAUUUAAAUUUAAUAUUUAAUUUUUCAACACUUAACUUAAAAAUUCUAAAUAAAAGUUAUUGAUUAUUUUUAUUUAUUUGAAAAAUAAUUUAAAAAAAAUAUAUUUAUAAAAAAAAUUAUAAAAAAUCAUCAAACAAAAUUGACAAAAGAUCUGAAUUCUUAUCAAUGUGUCGAAAGACAUCGACCAUAAAUGUAAACAUCUUUAAAGGCCAAUAUUUUGUCCACACACCACAUAUAACUUAUCCCCUCUACUAACUCCAAAUAAAUUAAAUAUUAAAAAAUUAUAUAAUUAAGCUAUUUAAAUUAUGAAAUUGAUCUCUUUAAAAAAAAAUUGUCAAGCUGACAAAUAUUGGUUGCGGUGGUAAAGUUAAUAGCACCUUAAAAAAGAUACGGGUUUAAAUUUUGGAGAUAACAUUUUUAACAUGAGUAGCCACGAAUCCUGAACAUGAACGAUAAACUGGACAUAAAAAAUACCGAAAAUAAUGUAUAUAUUAGCCGGUCAACUUUUCAUAUUGUUGCUAAGCAAUGCUAUGGGUUCAAUAUCUUCUAUGAUGUCUUUUAUGUUAUUACUUGUUUAUCAUAGCAUACGCUUAAAAACUAUCGAUUUUUCAAUAGUUGUGUGGGGAUGACAUCUUUUGAUGCUAGCUAGAAAGAUCACUCAUUGGCAUUGACCAAAUAAGCACAGUAGGGUGAUCUGGUUAUGGCUAAAAUUCAGUAAAAAACACAGUUGAUUGGACUGCAUAGAAAUGGGAUGAAUAUAUCAAGAGAUUUCAAAAUUUUAAAAGAAAGUUAAAUUCAAAAAUAGAUAGAUUAUGGUCAAGCCAACAGUACUUUUUACAAUAGAAAGUUUCGAUUCACUGGAUUACAAUUUGUGGAGGAGAUGACAUCAUUAUUUGAUGAGAAAUCGUGCUAUAAAAAGAAGAUUUAAUCAUUUUACUUUCAUGGAAUGUUGAACGCAAUGCUUCUUUUUUCAAAAGAAAUGGUUGUGCCUACACAAGCAGUUGAAGUAACACAUGAGCCAUAUCAUCAAUAAUUGAGAGAUGUAUUUAAGGUAAUAAAUUACUUAUUAUAUGAUUAUAUCUUAUUUAUUUAUUAUAAUAAUAUUUUUUCUUAUUAAUUGCAAAUAGGGUGCUAAUGGUGAACUUGAUGGGGCUUAUUCAUGCAAUAAUACCAAUUAAUGUGCUAGUCAUAUGUGAUUAAUAUGAAAUUUGCAUUUGUGUGGGCUAAAUGGGAAGGUGUAACACAUAGUAGAAACCAUGAAAAUUCAAAAAAAAUAGUUUUCCAUAUCAUCCACAAAGUUAGUAUAGUUUUUCUAUAAUUAAUUUUGUAAUAAACUCAUAAAGUGUUUAAUAUAAAUUUUACAAAUAAAUAUUAUUUCUAUGUAUUCAUUGUUAGAGUAUAGAGACUGCUAGUCUGUUAUUAUUCUGGUACCGAGUCUGGUAUGAAGUUGGUUAACAGCAGUUACUCAUGUAUAAGUAUAUAAACUCUAGCAAUAUUUUCUGUAUUUUCUAAUCUUUCAAUAUUGUUCACUGUUUUACAUAAUAAUCUAGUUACUAACAUGGUAUCAAUCGCCUAAUUUCCAGGUACUUGCUUCCGUUGCCGAUCCAUGGCUAAUUCAACAGAUUCUACUUCUGCUGGUCAUACUAGUCCACUUUUCAGCUCACAUUUGGUUCAGUCAUUUCUGCGUCAUGACACCGUGAAAUUGGAUGAAGGGAAUUUUGUGCAAUGGCAGCAACAUGUUCGUUUAAUGUUGCAAGGAUAUUUAGAGGGCACGUUACCUGCUCUGCCUAGAUUUGUGGCAUCUCCGGAAAGUGUUUUAACUCCGAAUCCUGAUGCGUCCUUGUUUGUUCAACAAGAUAAGUUGCUCGCGUCUUGACUUCUAUCUACUAUUAGUGCUUCCUUAUUGACUUGUUUAUAAUUUCUUUUAAUGAUAAAUAAUUUUUCUUUAAAAAAAAAUGUCAAGACUCAAUUAUUUAAUUCGUGAUAUCCAAUAUCUCUUCCACUACUUGUAUGGGUGGCCAUAUUCCCAUUUCAAAGAAAAAAACAAAAAAUCCCAUUUCUGGUUUUCAUUUGAAUUGAGUGGAUGAACUUAGUUUUAGCUUGAAUUGUUUUGACUUUACGCAUUUCUUGUCAGAUCGUUACAGAGAAAACUACAAGAGGAAACGUCCAAGUGAACCUUCACCAUAGCGACUUCUCAUAGAAGAAUCCAAAAUUAAUAAGAUAUCAGUUCAGUCAACUGUAUUUACUAAGGGUGAGUUUGGAUGGGCGGUGCGUUUAUUUGCGGUUAGUGUAAAAACAGCGAUGGCGAUGAGAUUAAAUACUGUAGCAAUACUGUAGCGUGAGACAAAAAGUAAGCUAAACGCACCGCACCGCACCCAAUCGUCUAUCCAAACUCACUCUAAGUUUUUUGUUUUUGUUUCUGGAUUUGAGUAAGCUGUUUGUAACGUUAUUUACUUUUUACUAUAGGUUUAAUGUAUUAUUUAAUACUCAAUUUUAAUAUAUUUUUUAAUGUGGUAUAUGUAUUAUUUUUUGUUUAAUCUAGUGUUUAUAUUUGACAAAAGUUAUAUAUUUCGAUACCCAAAGGCAAUGGUGUUACUUUUUUAAUAUUUAAUUCGAGUUUUAGAGUUUGAUGAAAAUACAUUAAAGCUAUAUAUUAACAAUUAACUUUCAUCAAAUUAACCCUAAAACCUGAACUAAACACUAAAAUAUUAGAACUGUUACCUUUAGGUAUUAAAAUGUAUAUCCACAAGUAUCACAUUUGACAGAAAACAUAGAUACCACAUUUAAAAAAUAUCAAACUUAAGUACCAAAUUAUGUAAUAAGCCUAAUAUUUAUAUAUCGAGAUUAUGUAUGGUUUGUAUAAUGUGUAAUCGUAUUUACAUGUAUGAUAUGAAUGCAUUAUAUUCAUAAAUUUUGGGUUCGAAUCUUAUCAAGUACAUUUUUCUAAAUUUUACAUGAAUUAAAAUGAUAAAAAAAUACUCUCAUAAUAAUAUUUAUUAAUUUAUAAAAGGGAGAGUUUAUAGUAAUUACUCAACUAAGUCUACAUAAUCUGCUUUUUGAAUAUAAUAUAGAUUUAAAAGGUUAUAAAAUUGUUUUCCCUUUUGAAAUUAUAUAUUAGAAUUUGUAAAGAUUAUGUGAUUUUAAUAUUUGAAAUAUCACAUAUGUUCAAAUUAAAUUUAAAAAAAAUUAUAUUUCAUAUAUCAUAAUAUUAAUGAAUUUAAAUAUAAUUUAAAUUAAAUUAAUUUUUACAUUUCAAUAUAAUGCCACAAUAAUAUUAAAUACUUAAAAUAAAAAAAUUACAAUUUCUAACAAUAUUUUUUCAAAAAAAUAAUUUUUAGCCUUUGGACUUCUCCGCACACAGUUAAUCAGAUGAACAAAAAAGAUAACAAGUUGUGUGAUGACUAACAAUUUCUUUUUAUAAUUAAAGGGUUAGUGUUCACACACAAAGUAGGGGCAUAGAUACCCAUACUAUACAUACGUAUGCGUUAGUUCAAAAGAAAGCCUAUUACUUAAUCUUUGGAAGCUUUAACCAAAGUGAAUUUUACGAGUGAAUCCCUUAAUCAUCAUAAUAAUUAUGCGAAUUAUACUUCUACUAAAUAUACGAGUAAAUAUGUCAUAUUAUAUUUAUCAAAUAUAAUUUAUUUUUGUAAUGAUAAAAAGUGGGAACCAAAACAAUAAUCUACCAAAAUGCAAUGAUUAAUUCUACUAAAUAUAUGAUUAAUUUAUUUUGAGUAAUUAUACUUCUACUAAAUAUAUGAGUAAAUAUGUCAUAAUAUUGAUUAAUUCGAAAAAUAUAAUCACUAGAAUUAAUCAAAACUAAAAAUAUUUUAAAAUUUUAGUUAUCAUAUUAAAAUUUUUUUCUCAAAGUUGAAGUAGGAAAUAUUCUUUUUAUCUAAACCAAUAACGUAGUUGUACUAUAAAUCAUGGUCCCUUUUCAGCAAUAAUAGACACAGCAGUGACAGCACCUCGUGAUAAGCUCAGUGGGUUCACCUUAAAAUUUCUUGGUUUUCCUCCCAAAGCAACAAGAUGUUGCAAACAGCUUGCAUCUCGUUUUCAUGGCUGUUGAAUGUUGGCAACCAGAAAGAUGGACUGUUCCUAGCAUCUUUCUCGUUUCUGGUUGCCAUAUUGGGAAUUUCACUCUUGUACUCAUUUUGGAAGGCAAGGAAACCGAUGGCUCCAUUACCACCUGGUCCCCGUGGGUUGCCAAUCCUGGGGUAUCUUCCAUUUCUUGGAUUCGAUAAUCUCCAUCUGGUCUUUACGGAGUUGGGUAGAGUUUAUGGUCCCAUUUACAAGCUUUGGCUUGGGAACAAGCUAACCGUAGUAAUUAGCUCUCCAUCGCUUGUAAAAGAAGUGGUUCGUGACCAUGAUAUAGCAUUUUCAGAGCGAGAACCUCCCAUUGCUGCACAGAUUAUUACCUUUGGCUCCAGUGAUAUUGCGUUCGACUCUUACAGCAGUCCCAGCUGGAAAAACAAGCGCAAAGUUCUCGCGACCGAUAUGCUAAGCAACGCUAACCUUAAUGCUUGUUAUGAUCUACGACGAGAGCAAGUGAUGAAAAUGGUCGAGGAUGUGUAUGAAAACGUUGGCAAGCCAAUUGAUAUCGGCGAAUUGGCAUUCUGUACGUUAAUCAAUUUGAUCGGAAAGAUGGUGUGGGGAGGCGCACUCCGAGGAGAGAAAGGGACUGCGGUUGAGGGUCGCUUCAAAGAAAUUUCUUCGCAGAUGGUGGUGUUAAUUGGAAAACCAAACAUUUCCGAUAUUUUCCCCGCGAUUGCAUGGUUCGACAUGCAAGGUAUCCAGAGGGGAAUUAAGAAAAUCCGUCAAUCGUUCAAUGAACUUUUAGAGUCUGUGAUUGAACUCAGAAUGAACACGGUGACUGAGAAAGAAACGAGUGAACAAAAAUCCGACUUCUUACAAUUGCUCUUGGAUUUACACAAGAACCAAGAUAGCCCUUCAUCACUUACGAUGAAUCAAGUAAAGGGCCUUCUCAUGGUAAGAUUUUAUGAUUUUUAGCUAUCAUACAUUAUUUUUCCUUCUUUAAUUCGUUUUGAGUAAUUGGUGGUUUGUAAUAGGACAUUGUGGUGGGUGCAACAGAUACCACUUCAACUACGACAGAGUGGGCAAUGGCAGAGCUAAUGCAACAUCCAGAAAUAAUGGAGAAAGUGAAGAAAGAAUUAACUGAUGUUGUUGGGGUAAAUGACAUCAUUGAAGAGUUUCACUUGCCUAAUUUAAGUUACCUAAGUGCAGUGAUAAAGGAGACCUUCAGAUUGCAUCCACCCGUGCCCCUUCUUGUUCCUCGUUGUUCUGCUCAAUCACUCACUGUGGGUGGCUAUAACAUACCAAAGGGUAGCAAGGUGUUUUUAAACAUGUGGUUCAUUCACACGGACCCCAAUAUUUGGGACAACCCUUCAGAAUUUCGACCCGAAAGGUUCUUGGAUGAGCCUGGAAAGUUCGAUUUUCUCGGAAAUGAUUUCCGAUAUAUGCCAUUUGGGUCAGGAAGGAGACGGUGUCCAGGCAUAACCCUAGGGGAGAAGAUGUUAUCUUUCAUAUUGGCCUCAUUGCUGCAUUCUUUUGAAUGGAAAUUGCCCCAAGGCGAACAGCUUGAUCUUUCAAGUAAAUUUGGAAUUGUUAUGAAGAAAAAGAACCAUUUACGUCUUAUUCCCAUACCGAGAUUGUCUGAUCAUGUGCUUUACAAAAAGUAAUGGUUAUAAACUAUUAUUAUAUGUAUCCCCUUUUGCGUCUUAUUCCCAUACCGAGAUUGUCUGAUCAUGUGCUUUACAAAAAGUAAUGGUUAUAAACUAUUAUUAUAUGUAUCCCCUUUUGCAAAUUACUGUUGUCUAUAAAUCUUGGCAUGUCAUCUAGGACUGGGAUAUCAACUCUAAUGUCACGAUUUUAUUGAUGUCUUUUAUUCGAUUGAAUAAAAAAAGAGUUAUUAGUUUGAUGAUUAAGAGUUAGUGAAUUUAUCUUUGAAAUUUAAAUUUGAUUUCCUUCCCUCAUGUAACUUUUAUUUUUUUUAUAUUUUUGCCUAAAACCCUAGCUGUAUUGUCCCAUGCUGUAACCCUAGAUAUAAAUAUUAUUUAAUUUUCUGUUCAACCUCUUUGGAUCAUUUAUUCUUUUCUCUUUGCUGUCCCACCCUCCUCUCUUCCUCUCAUUCUUCAAUUUUUCCUCAUCCUUGCCUUGCAGCCCCUAAAACCCUAAUUUGUCCAUCUUUUUGCCGCCUCUUUCUUCCCUUCCUCCAUUUGUGGCCGCCACACCCCAUUGAUCGUCUCCUCCUCUUGUUUUCUUUUAAUUUUUAUUCAUCUGUUCACUUCUCUGUUGUGGUUGAACUUUACUGAUGAUUUUUUGCCAUUGCCACACCUAUUUGCUCUCAUUUUCUGUUGAAUGAUGGUCAGCAUGCAGCCAUGAAGCAGACAGCAAGCAGGCCAUGAAGAUCAAGCCAUGCAGGAGCUACUGGAACGAGAUCAACUGUUCCUAUUUUGUUCAUUUUGCAAUCUUAAGUUAAUGUAAUGUACUUUAGUUCAUUUAGAACUAUGUUAGGUUUAUGAUUGAUGUAAUUUUGAUGACAAAUGAGCUGUUAACUCAGCUUUGUUUAAGUGUGCAAGCUUAGUUUUUCAAGUUUCAAUGUAUUAGUGGUGGUAGGUGAUGAUUAGGUGACAUUAUGCAGAUUUUGACAAGCAAAUUGCUUGGUUUAUGUAUUGGCAUUAUGCCAUUGUUCAACUAUGAAUCAAAUCAGUUUAGUUUUCUUCAAAAAUACUCUCCAUUUUCUUUGCUUUUCUUCUUUCUUUUGUUUCAAAUUCAAUUGUUUCCUCAGCAAGUAUCGAGCCUUGCUGCUCAAGACACAAGCUAAGCUUGCUUGUUCUUUGUUUCCAGCACUAACAUUUUCCUUCAUUUUGUUGUUGAAAUCAGCCUCCUAUCUUGGCCGAUUGUGGUGUUCAAUUGUUUUCUGUUGAUUCCUUAUCUUGUAUCCGAAAAUUAGGAAGUGUAAGUUACUAACAUGGUAUCAGUCGCCUAAUUUCCAGGUAUUUGCUUCCGCUACCGAUCCAUGGCUAGUUCAACAGGUUCUACUUCUGUUGGUCAUACUAGUCCGUUCUCCAGCUCACAUUUGGUUCAGUCAUUUCUGUGUCAUGACACCGUGAAAUUGGAUGAAGGGAAUUUCGUGCCAUGGCAGCAACAUGUUCGUUUAAUCACAGAAGGAUAUGAGUUGCAAGGAUAUUUAGAGGACACGUUACCUGCUCCGCCUAGAUUUGUGGCAUCUUCGAAAGGUGUUUUAACUCCGAAUCCUAAUGCGUCUUUGUUUGUUCAACAAGAUAAGUUGCUCGCCUCUUGGCUUCUAUCUACAAUUAGUGCUUCCUUAUUGUCUUGUUCAUAAUUUCUUUUAAUGAUAAGUAAUUUUUCUUUAAAAAAAAAAUCAAGACUCAAUUAUUUAAUUCAUGAUAUCCAAUAUCUCUUCCACUACUUGUAUGGGUGGCCAUAUUCCCAUUUCAAAGAAAAAAAAAAUCCCAUUUCUGGUUUUCAUUUGAAUUGAGUGGAUGAACUUAGUUUUAGCUUGAAUUGUUUUGACUUUACGCAUUUCUUGUCAGAUCGUUGCAGAGAAAACUACAAGAGGAAACGUCCAAGUGAACCUUCACCAUAGCGACUUCUCAUAGAAGAAUCCAAAAUUAAUAAGAUAUCAGUUCAGUCGACUGCAUUGACUAAGUUUUUUGUUUUUGUUUCUGGAUUUGAGUAAGCUGUUUGAAACGUUAUCGACUUUUGACUAUAGGUUUAAUGUAUUAUUUAAUACUUAAAUUUAAUAUAUUUUUUAAUGUGGUAUAUGUAUUAUUUUUUGUUCAAUCUAGUAUUUAUAUUUGACAAAAGUUAUAUAUUUCGAUACCCAAAGGUAAUGGUGUUAACUUUUUAAUAUUUAAUUCGAGUUUUAGAGUUUGAUGAAAAUUCAUUAAAGUUAUAUAUUAACAAUUAACUUUGGUCAAAUUUACCCUAAAACUCGAACUAAACACUAAAAUAUUAGCACUGUUACCUUUAGAUAUUAAAAUGUAUAGCCACAAGUAUCACAUUGGACAGAAAACAUAGAUACCACAUUUAAAAAAAAUCAAACUUUAAGUACCAAAUUAUGUAUUAAGCCUAAUAUUUAUAUAUCGAGAUUAUGUCUGGUUUGAAUAAUGUGUAAUCGUAUUUACAUGUAUGAUAUGAAUGCAUUAUAUUCAUAAAAGGAAAAUUCAAAAUUCAACUUAAUUGAAUUGAGUUAUUCGAGAUAUUUAAUUUUUUUAGUCAGCUUGAAGAAAUAUUUCAAUUUUUCGCGUUCGAACAAGUUUUGAGUUGAAUUUUACAACUAGAAUAGCACCAAUAAUUCAAAUAACUAGAAUAAUAAAUUGUUGUAAAUACUCCUUUGCCCCUGUCAAUUUGAAAAAUAAGUAAAAUUACAAAAUAAUUAAAAUAAUUUUCAAAAAUUUAAAAUAUUUAUAAAAAAUCUAAAUUUUCAUAAUUUUUUAAAUUUAAAAAAUUAAAAAUCUUUAAAAGAUUCUAAAGAAUAUAUAAAGAAGUUUAAAAUUUUAAAAAUUUCUAAAAUAAUAAUUUUGAGGAGUUAAACAAGUAAAUUAUUAAUUCAAAUUUAUCAUAUUGAAAUAUCUUUUUUUCUCUUAUUUUACUUUAAAAUUUUUUUCCAAAUUUAUGUACACUCUAAUUAACAAAAUUUAAUUUAACAAGUUUUUUAAUUUAAUUUAAAUGAUUUUAUUAAAUUAAAUUCAAUGCUCAACCUACUAAUAUUCCCAUCAAAUUUUCCCAUUCUCUUGACCACAUAUUGUUGGGGUGAGUGUUAACAUAAUUUUUCAACAUCAAACAUACAAGCUCCACAACAAACAAAGUUAUCUAUAGUGCAAAUAAUAGUAUAAUUUCCCAACAAAUGAAAAAAAAAAGUACUUUAAUAUAUCAAAACUAAAAUAUAAUUUUUCACACAUAUCAAAAUAAGAGAAUUAACUAUACUGACAAAUGCACAAUACAAAAAUUGGGACCAUGUGUCUAUUUCACAAACAGUGUUUAGUGAAGAUUCACAAGAAAGCUUUGAAGAAUGGGAUCAUGUGUCUCUUUUCAACAAUCACAAACACAAUUCACAUAUGAAGACAAAUCCAUGCUUACCUUUCUGCUUUUAUAACCACAACAAAUUUCAAAGUUUCAGUAACAGUUUUUGUGGGGUUUAGGGAUUUUAAGGGUUUAGUGAUUUCUAGAUUUAAUAUUUUUUUAAAAGUAUGGUGUUUUUAUUUGUAAUUAUUGUAAAAACAAUAGUGAUAAUGAGAUUAGAUAUUAUAGCGCAAAAUAAAAUAAAAACUAAACGCACCGCAUUAAAAAUAAACGUCUAUUCAAGAGGGAACUUAAUAUUUCACUGUCGAAGUUUCAUUACAAUAAAUGUGAAGAUGGGUUCAUGGAACAAAUUUUUGUUUAGGUUUUGUUUUCGAACGAAAUUUUUUUCUUUUUUUAUUGUUAUAAACUUUUUUUUUUCUUUUUAGUGAUUUGAGGGUUUAAAUGGGUGCAAAACAAUUUGAAGGAGUUGAAUUGAUUUUUUGGAAAAACUUCAAGGGCUUAUUGUACCAAUAAGUCUUCUUAAAAAUAUUUUGUAAGUUAUUAGAAUUGGGUCCGUGUUGAACUAAUUAAACCAUCGGUUUGUCGGUCUAGAUGGUUCGAGUAAAUAAAUAAUUAAAAAAAUCAUAAAAAUAAAAGAAGAUAAAAACUAGUUUAACUAAUUUUUUUAACCUGGUUCGUACCAGUUCCUGUUCAAUUGGUCUAAAGCCUUUCUUUAAACAAUAUUAUGCCGAUCAAUUCUCGGUCUAAUCAAUUUGAUUGACUAAUUUAGUUCAAAUAAAUAUGAUAUUUUGAAUUUUUUUGAAGUGGGGAAGAGAAUGAGAUAAUAAAUUAAAUUUAUUUUUAAUUAAUAGAAAUUAAAGGAGAAUUGAAAAAAAUAAUUUAAAUUAUUUUUCAAUACAUGUGGUGUAAUAUGAUUGGUAGUUGAAUACAUGUGGUAUAAUUUGAUUUGUUCAGAUAAAAAUCUUAACGAGUGUUAGUUAGAUACCUAAAAGAAGUACCAAUUUAACUUCUAGUUUGUAAGUUUAGGUAUCCGUUAGGUCCAAAAAAAGCUAAAUGCCAAGUAGGUACAUAUUGCCAAGCUUAAUAAUACUAUAUUGUUGCUGAACGAGUGUGUGUGCCCUUAACUUAGCUGGUAUCAGGAUCAACCGAAAAGUACUAAAAUGCCGUUCAUAUAGAAUAUAAGUUACAUUGCAGUGUCGGCAUCAAAUUUUUUUUUUUAUCCCCGACCCAAUCAACAAGCAAUGAUUACACAGUGAUGCAUUUUGGUGCUGACCAUCGGAGUGUCGGCAUCGCCCAACAUUAUAGAUUAUAGGUCAUUUUCGUUAUAGGUUUUGGAUCUAAGUCAUUUUUGUAAAUAAUAAAUUUUUCGGGUCAUUUUUGAAAAAAAAAGUCUUACUUAGAUAUUUUAAUUUCCUUCAAAUCAGUAUAUUAUGAGUGCAAAACAGAGGGUUGUAGCUUAAAUUAUGAUAAAAAUACUAAAGUUGCAAUAUGUGAAAGUCUAAGCCGUAAAACUUGCAAAAAAUAAACUUUAAACUUUUUUUUCUCAAAUUAUACCCUAAAUUAAUAAUAUAUAAAAUAUAAGUAUAAAUAUUAUAAUUAUUAACAUAACUAGCAUACGGUGAAAAAUAUGACUGAUAAAUAGAGAAAUUGGACAAUUAUCAAUAGUUUACGAUUUUCUUUUGUAAAGCUCAAGAUUAGUUAAUCUUGGUGUGGGAAUCAGAUGUAAAGGGUUCUUUUUACCCAUAAUGAUUCCAAAUUUACCAGAAAGGUCAACCUUUUCGUCCUGGGGCAAUUUCCACUCAAAAGAAUGCAGCAAUGAGGCCAAUAUGAAAGAUAACAUCUUCUCCCCCAAGUUAAUGCCUGGACACUUUCUCCUUCCGGACCCGAACGGCAAAUAUCGAAAAUCAUUUCCACGGAAAUCUAAUUUUCCAGGCUCAUUUAAAAACCUCUCAGGUUGAAAUUCCAUAGGAUUGUCCCAAAUAUUAAGGUCCCUGUGAAUGGACCACGUAUUUAGGAACACCCUACUACCCUUUGGUAUGGUAUAGCCACCCACAGUGAGCGAUCGGGCUGAACAUCGGGGAACAAGGAGCGGCAAUACUGGAUGUAAUCGGAAGGUUUCCUUUAUCACUGCAUUUAGGUAUCUUAAAUUAGGCAAGUGAAACUCUUCAACAGUGUUGUUUACCCCAAUGACAUCAUUUAAUUCUUUCUUCACUUUCUCCAUUAUUUCUGGAUGUUGCAUCAGCUCUGACAUUGCCCACUCUGUUGAACCCGAAGUAGUAUCUGUUCCAGCCACCACAAUGUUCUAAUUUAAAAUACAUUAGCACCCAAGACAAGUAAAAGGAAGAAGAAAAAAAUAGGAUAGUUAAAAACAUAGAAACUUACUACUAGGAUACCCUUGAUUUGAUUCAUUGUAAGUGAUGAAGGGCUAUCUUGGUUCUUAUGUAAAUCCAAGAGCAUCUGUAACACAUCAGAUUUUUGUUCACCAGUUUCCUUCUUCAUUCUUUCUUCAAUCACUGAAUCCAAAAAUUCAUUGAACGAUUGACGGAUUUUCUUCAUUCCCCUCUCAAUGCCUUGUAUGUCAAACCAAGCAAUCGAUGGAAAAAUAUCGGAAAUGUUUGGUUUUCCCAAAAACACCAUUAUCUCUGCAAAAAUCUUUUUGAACUGACUCUCCACGAUAGUCCUUUGCUCUCCUUGGAUUUCGCCUCCCCACACCAUGUUGCCGAUCAAACUGGUUAACGUACGAAAUGCCAAUUCACCGACAUCAAUCAGCUUACCGACGUUUUCAUACACAUCCCCCACCAUUUCCAUCACUUUUUCUCGCCGUAGAUCAUAACAGGCAUUAAGAUUAGCGCUGCUAAGCAUAUCGGAUGCGAGAAUUUUGCGCUUGUGUUUCCAGCUGGGACUGCUGUAAGAGUCGAAUGCAAUAUCAUUAGUGCCGAAGGUAAUAAUCUGCGCAGCAAUGGGAGGUUCUCGCUCUGAAAAGGCUAUAUCAUGGUCACGAACCACUUCUUUUACAAGCGAUGGAGAGCUAAUUACUA
rnacentral:lncRNA from 1 species